GAGGGUAUAGCUCAGCAGUAGAGCGCAUGCUUAGCAUGCACAAGGUCCUGGGUUCAAUCCUCAGUACCUUCA
rnacentral:tRNA from 1 species